UAGUAGCUCAGUCAGCAUAGAUAAGGUGU
rnacentral:piRNA from 1 species